rnacentral:lncRNA from 1 species
UCCCCAUUCCUCCAUUGUAUUAUUCUCUCAUCCACUAUCGGAUCAUGAUGCUUGUUGAUGAUGCUCAAAGCCUCUUUUACCAUCUUCUCAUGGCCAUCUAAGUCGAAGACUCUCAGGCAUGGAAGGUAAUCAGAUGGAGAGAAUACAUAUAGGUAAACAAGCGUGGUAAAGAGGGAGUUUACGUGUUCUUCUUCUUCAAGUCCAGGCCCUCCAUCUUUCCUUCCUUCCCCAAAGUACCUUCUGCUGAACAUCAUCUUCCUAACCACAUUUCCUGUGUAUUGUCUGACUGCAUUUCUCACAUUCACAACCGAUGAGUCCGUAAAAUUAUGGCUAGUAAUACUAGAGAACUUACACUGGUUAUAAAUGAAGCGGACAAGAUUGUCGGCUUCUUCAGUUCUCUUCUGGAGGAGCCAAAUAUGUCUUUCUGGCUUAAGCACCUCAGAAAUGAUGGUCCUUCUCAUCUUCUUCCACUGCUCUCCCCAUGGAGAAAGAGCUGUUGUCAGGAACCCUCUGCUCAAGUGAUGGGACGCCAUUGUAAUAGGUCUGGAUGCAAACACUGCAUCAUGUUCCUUCAAAAUCUCCCUGGCAAUCUCAGGCGAAAUCACGGGAAUGACAUGGACAUUGCCCAGUUUGAUGCAUGCAAUCUCAGUGUUGAGUUCCUCCAAAAGUCCAAGUAUCCACCGGAAUACCGGCUUUUUUGUGAAUAAUUCAGGCAGGUUCCCAACUAAUGGCCAUGGAGUUGGGCCAGGAGGGAGCAGUGGCAUUUGCUUGGUGAUUAGGGUUUUGGGUUUGAGUUUGUAGAGGAUGAGAAAAGCGAAAAAGAAAAGGAAAAGGAGCAAGAGGAUGAAUGGUAAAUGAAGAUGAAGUGAAACGAGCUUCAAGGUUUCAGAAUUAUGAGAGAGCAGGAAGAGGAAUGAAUUUGGAAAUGAAGAAGACAUGGUUGAGUUGCAGCUGCUACCCAUCAUCAUUUGUCUCUUGCUGAUCUUCAGUACUAGGAUGCAAAUUAUGAGAAACCUCCCAGACCAAUGUUAGGGUGAAUUCACAAUAUUUCAACCAACACCAAGAUUUUUUUACUAUUUCUUUGUGCAAAAUUAAAUAGGUAAUAACAACUAGUAGUAAUAAAUAUAUAAACUCAUGUAACAAAAAAAAAAUAAGAUACCAUAAUUUUUACAUGGAAAACCCUCCAAUGCGAAGGGAAAAACCAUAAGACCUAAUUCAGUUCAAACUUCUAUUAUCAAUAAUAAUGGGUUAUACUUGUCUUUUCUAGAAUAAUCUCUAAAGACUACCAAAUACAUCAAAAGUACAUAUAUACUUGGAUUAUACAAUCUCUCUUGGUAAAAGAAAUAAAGAAAAAUUGGAGAAAGUAUAAAAAAAAAUGUCGUUACUGUUCAUGAGCAGUAACACCAGUUCUCGAGCUCAAAAUCUGAUCUUAUCGUUCAUAUUGUUUAUACUCGAGUUUUGAACAUUUCCUCCAAAUUUCCACUGGAUCGAACCACAGAUGAAGCAGGAUCAACCUAUUGAUAAAAUCUGGACAAAUGUGUUUUUUUUUUCUCUCUUAUCUUCUCUUUGUUUUUUUUUUUUUUUUUUCUCGAUUUCUUUUUUGUUUUUUUGUUUUUUAAUGUAACUGACUUGGCCCUAAGCACAUGGGGCCCACUUCCCCACAUACGAGGGAGCCCAACAACAAAUAAAAGCGAAAAGGAAAAGGAAGAUGAGCAAGAAAAUGAACAGUCAAUGCAGAUGAAUUCGAAGUAAAGCAAGCUCUAAGGUUUCAGAAUUAUGAGAGAGCAGAAAGAGUAAUGGAUUUGGAUAUGAAGAAGACGUGGUUGAGGUGCAGCCGCUAGUCAUCAGCAUUGGUCUCUUUCUGAUCUUCAGUACUAGGAUGAAAAUUAAUUAAUGGUAGGCAUGCAUUGGAAAUCUCCCGUACAUUUGCUCUCUUUACACUGGUUAUAAAUGAAGCGGACAAGAUUGUCGGCUUCUUCAGUUCUCUUCUGGAGAAGUCACAUAUGUCUCUCCUGCUUAUGCACCUCAGAAGUGAGGAUACUUCUCAUCUUCUUCCACUGCUCUCCCCAUGGCGAAAGGACUGUGGUCAAGAAUCUGCUCAAGUGAUGGGACUCCAUUGGAAUAGGUCAGGAUGCAAACACUGCAUCAUGUUUCUUCAAAAACUCCCUUCCAAUCUCAGGCGAAAUCACGGGAAUGACAUGGACAUUGCCCAGUUUGAUGCAUGCGAUCUCAUUGUUCAGUUCUUCCUAAAGCCCAAGUAUCCACCGGAAUGCCGGCUUUUUUUGUGAAUAAUUCAGGUAGGUUCCCAACUAGGCCAUGGAGCUGGACCUCGAGGGAGCAGUGGCAUUUGCUUGGUGAUUAGGGUUUUGGGUUUGAGUUUGUAGAGGAUGAGAAAAGCGAAGAGGAAAAGGAAAAGGAGCAAGAAGAUGAAUGGUAAAUGAGGAUGAAGUGAAUCCAAGGUUUCAGAAUUAUGAGAGAGCAGGAAGAGUAACGGAUUUGGAAAUGAAGAAGCCAUGGUUGAGUUGCAGCUGCUACUCAUCAUCAUUUUUCUCUUGCUGAUGUUAAGGUGCAGAACAAUGGAGUCUGGAUCCCUCCGAAUCCUAAUCCUAAGACCCAUCGAAAAUGUGAAGGUACCAUUCUCCCACACUAAUAUUAUUUAUUUCUAAAGUGAUGUCGAUUAGGGAGGAAACUUCCGAAAGAAAUAAUAUUGAAGAGUUGCUUCUUACGCAUGAAAUGAAGAAGCAAACUUUUUAUUGAAGAAAAACAUUCUCUCUUUUAUGAAAAGAACAUUUCAAUCUCUUACUAUCACUUUCAAUAAAAACAUGACAAAUUCUCAUCAAAGACAGGACCACUUCUUUGGACAGCAAUAAAUAUGCUGUCACACAUCGACAGAAAAACAACUUGGGUGUUUUAAAAAAUACUUUUCAAUUAUUUUCAAGAAUUUCAUAUUAAAAUAAUAAUGAUAAUUAAUUAAUUUUACGUCCGAUCCCACUACUUCAAAAAUAUCAUUGAAUAUAAAUGCAUGACGUAAAGGUUUGGAAGUAUGAUUGCAUGUAGAUGACGUAAUAAAAGAAGAAAAAGGGAAAAAAAAAACCUACAAAUCAAUUUAAAGUAAAAUAUAUUUUUUUUAAUUUUUCUAUUUUAUACAUUGAUAUCUUCUUUCAUGUAUAAUAUGUUGGAAUUUAUAUAUGUAAAUGGAAAUUAGGAUUUUUUUUUUUUUUUUUUGAAAAACAUGUUUGUUAAUAAAUACAAUUUAUUUUAAAUAACGUAUCUUGUACAACUUCUUCUAAAAGAUGUGUUUGUUGUUUUAAGACACGACCCUUUAAAAGAUGUUUAGUAUUUUAAAGGCACAUCUCUUUUAAAGGUUAUCAUCAAAUCUAUAAAUAGGGACUCUCAUGACAUAUUAAUUCAUCAAUUCUUUUCAUUUUUUCUUCUUUUUACCAAAUAUUUGGUAUUUAAGAAAAUACAAAUUAUUAAGUGAUUCACUAUUUCUCAUGAUUUGAAGUGCUAUUAUCAUAAAAAAAAAUGAUCAUUAUAUCCUAAGAGGCAAUUGCCCAUAAAUAAUAAGCACCUGAGUGAGACAAAUUCGUCUUAAAGUCAUAGAGUCAAACUAUCAAUCUUAUUUGUGAGUUUCGAUUUUCUACUUCAUUUUAUUUGUAUAUUUAUUAUACACACUUAUUAUCCAUAUAUUUUCAAUGAUCUGGAUAACAUAAUAUUUAUUUUUUCAUAUUCAACGGUUUUAAAUAGUGUUAUACAUAUCUAGGAGUUGAAUUCAUUUUUAACUCCAAAUUUUAAGAUAUGGGGGAAUUGGUCCAAUAGGUUCAAAAUUUAUAUACCAAUGUAGCGAUCCCAAUUCCCACAUAAGAAGAGAAAAAUAAAAUACCAUUAAAAUAUCUUUAAUAAUAACUUCCUAUCUAUCAUAUAUACUGGUGGGAUUUUUCCAUAAAUUAAUUUAUGAUUAAAAAAAAGUAUUUUGUGGUAGGAUUUUUUUUUUGCAAAAAAAAUUAUUUGUAGCAAGUUUGUUAUUAUAAGUCCAUGAAUAUCUGGUAUCCACACAGUUAAUAAAAGAUCGAAGCUUAUCAUCUAUAGUUAAUAAAAGAUCGAAGCUUAUCAUCUAUAAUAAUAAACUGAUAUAAUAAGGUAGAUGAUUGACCAUCAUCCUAGGAGUCUUUUCUUAAUCAAUUUGAUAAUAUCAUAUAGUUAAUUACAAUGGAAUCCAUUUGUAAUCAAUAUGAUGUUACCUUAUUAACGAUUAUCUUAACAAUGAAGUCUUUUUUUUAAUAAUUUUGAUAAUUACAAUGUAAUCUCUUUGUAGUCAAUUGAUAACAUCAUAUGACUUUAGAGGUCUAGGUUAGAUGAAAUAUAUGGAAAAAAAACUACUCAAAAUUUGGUCAAUGCAAUACCAAGACCCGUACAUUGAUCCUUUUUAUUAGGUAAAGGAUACCUAAUCCAUUGAAGAACCUCAUUUAAAGGCUUGUAGUUGAUUAUAAGUCCUGAGGCACCUCUUUCAAUCUCAGCAAAUGCCCAAAUGGAACAGUGAAUGCAAUCUUAUAUUUAUCUUUUUCUUCACUUUUAAUUUGUCAAAAUCCUGAUUUUAAAUCAAAUUUUGAAAAGAUUAAAGCAUCAUGAAGGCAACCAAUAAAAUCCCUUUUAUUACUUAAAGGAUACCUAAUCCAUUGAAGAACCUCAUUUAAAGGCUUGUAGUUGAUCACAAAUCUUGGGCCACCUGGAACUCCCUUACUAACUCAACUCUAUCCUUUUAUGAUGAAUUUCUUCUAAUUAAUGAAAGUUCUUCAUCAUAUGAUAGUUCUUCUUCACAAUCAUCAUGUGAUUGUAUGAAAAACUGAAGUAUCAACUAUGUGUCAAACAUGAAUGGAGUGUGAUGCCUUUGAUCAUUAAAUUUGGUUACAAUUCCUUCAUCACUUACUCAAUUGGUUUGGUUGUGCCUUGGUAAAUUUCAAAUCUUAAGAAUUUAAUCCCGCUUUGAAAUAGUUUGAUCUUAGGGUAGAAAUUACUAGUCCAUUCUCUUUGACAAUUUUUUGAAAGAUUUUUAUAUGCUUGAAGUGUUGAUCAAUAGAAUUUAAAAAUAUAAGAACAUCAUCAAUAUAUACAAUGGUAAAGCUUGUAUAGGGAUUGAAAAUGUUAUUAACCAUUAUCUUAACAAUGAAGUCUUUUUUUAAUCAUUUUGAUAAUUACAAUGCUUGAUAACAUCAUAUUACUUUAGAGGUCUAAGUUAGAUGACCCAUUAAAAUACGUCAUGUUUGGGGUGGAAUAUUAUGUCAACGAUUUUAAAAAGAAAUAUAUCAUAUGACAAAAGAGUGGGUUUUGAAAAUUUCACUCAUUAACAAGAGAUUCUAAAAAGGAAUUUUAAAAUUUUAUCAAAUGUCUAAGGUUCUAAGAAAGCAAUUCCAAACAUUAAGAAGUACUACUUAUGACCUCUUUCAAAAUCAAAUGCGUAAUGUAAAGUUGGACAACGUUUGUGAACAUAUUUAGGAGUCAACUCAGAAGUUUAGGAUAGAAGAGUCAACUUAGAAGGAUGUAAGAUUUAAAUAUUGACGUGGGCACGCAUGACAUAUACACUUCAAUGAAAGGAAAAAAAGAAAAAAAAGAAAAAAGGAAAAAAAAGAAAAGAAAAAGAAAAACCCACUUCAAAUCAAUUAAAACACAAAUAUUUUUUAUAAUAUAUAUUUUUUAAAUUUUAUAUUAUAUUUGGUGUAAAAAACAUUUUCUAGUUUUUAUUUUCUAAAAAUUAUUUUAUUUUAUCUUUUUUUUAUUAAUUAUUUAAGAAAAUAAAAUUUAUAAAAUCUUACUUGAUUUUGAGUUUUUAUUAAUGUAAAAAAUGGUUUAGAAAAUAUAACUAAAAUUUUAUAUAAUACACAUGUUAUUAUAUAAAGUAUAUUAUUAUAUUACAUUUAUUUAUUAUUCUUUUUAUUUUUAGAAAUACCUUUAUAGCUUCUCACUAUUAUAAAAUUAAAAUAUCAAGGACACAAACUUUUAGCUUUAACAACACAUAAUAUGAUUUAUAUAGUUUCUGACUAUGAGAUAAAACAAAUAAAAAUUAUGAUAAUAAAAGUGAAAUAUAAUGACAUAUCAUUUUUCAUAUAUCUUUGUAUCCCCAAAGCAUCAUGUGAUGAGUGGAGAAGAAAAGAAAAUUGGAUGAGAGCAUUUAUCUUUAUUAACUCAUAAAUCCUUAUUUAUAGGCUCUACUCAUCAAGCUUCGGAAUGGAUGAAGUUUUAAUCAAUUCCCAUACAUGGAAGCAUGCAAGCGUGGUUUUGCAUGAGCAUGGAGAGGCUUGGCUAGAAAGAGGUCGUUCAUUGAUUCUGUGAGGUCAAUUUGGUCCUGGUUCGGUGGCACACUCCACGAAAAACAUUGAAGGAGUCUCGCCAAGAGUGUAACUGUCAAGGCUGUCCCUAAGGCAGUUCCAGGACACCCGCGUCUCCCAGUACUAAAUGAAAUGAACCGAAGCUCAGGCUCAGCUAAAUCCACCACUUCAUCAUUCAUAUGCCGCUCUGGUUUAAACUUUAAUGGCUCUUCCCACACUCUAGGGUUCCGUCCAAGCCCUACCCGGCUCAGCAGGACAUGGCUGCCUUUGGGGAUGAAGUAGCCGGCCACAACAGCGUCCGCCAUGGACACAUGGGGCACGUUGAAUGGUGCUAUGGGGUGAAGCCGCAGAGCUUCCCUAGCACAGGCUUUAACAUAUUUGAGCUGCGCGAUAUCGGAUUCUUGAACAAGUCUAUCCUUUCCAACCACUCUAUCGAUUUCUUCUACGGCCUUCUGCAUAAUCUCGGGUUGAUUGAUCAUUUCUGCCAUUGCCCACUCAGCUGCAUGCGCUGGAUUAUCCACUAUUUCAAUCAUCAGUUCCUGCCAGAUUGUAUAUAGUUAAUAUAUAUUGAACCCCAAAGAGAAGAACUUCAGAAUAUAUAUACGAAAUUAAGAUAACAUAUUAGAGCUAAAUUCUCACUAUGAGUUGGGCUUUGAUCUCUUCUACUGAUAGCAAUGGUUUUCCCUUUGUGUCGCUGAUUGUAAUGAAAACAUCGAGUAUGUCCUCAACCUCCUUCUUCUCCCCAUUUCUCCAUUGUAUUAUUCUUUCAUCCACAAUCGGAUCAUGAUGCUUGUUGAUGAUUCUCAAAGCCUCUUUUACCAUCUUCUCAUGGCCAUCUAGGUCGAAGACUCUCAGGCAUGGAAGGUAAUCAGAUGGAGAGAAUACAUAUAGGUAAGCAAGCGUGGUAAAGAGGGAGUUUACGUGUUCUUCUUCUUCAAGUCCAGGCCCUCCAUCUUU